rnacentral:rRNA from 1 species
GCCCAAAGAAGAUUGAGUGCUUGCACAAGAUUGGACUUGGAUUACCACCUAGUGGCGGACGGGUGAGUAACACGUAGGUGACCUACCUUUGAGUUUGGGAUAACUAUUAGAAAUGAUAGCUAAUACCGAAUUAAAUGCAGAUUCGUUUCUGUAUUAAAAGGAGCCUUUAAAGCUUCGCUUAAAGAUGGGCCUGCGGCGUAUUAGCUAGUUGGUGAGGUAAUGGCUUACCAAGGCGACGAUGCGUAGCCGAACUGAGAGGUUGAUCGGCCACAUUGGGACUGAGACACGGCCCAAACUCCUACGGGAGACAGCAGUUAGGAAUAUUCGUCAAUGGGGGAAACCCUGAACGAGCAAUGCCGCGUGAACGAUGAAGGCCCUAUGGGUUGUAAAGUUCUGUUGCAUGGGACGAACGAUUAGGAUAGGAAAUGAUCUUAAUGUGACGGUACCAUGCCAGAAAGCUCCGGCUAACUACGUGCCAGCAGCCGCGGUAAUACGUAGGGAGCAAGCGUUAUCCGGAUUUAUUGGGCGUAAAGGGUGCGUAGGCGGCUUGUUAAGUAUGAGAUUAAAGCCCGAGGCUUAACCUCGGUUCGUUUCAUAAACUGGCAGGCUUGAGUGCGGCAGAGGUAAACGGAAUUUCUAGUGUAGCGGUUAAAUGCGUAGAUAUUAGAAGGAACACCAGUGGCGAAGGCGGUUUACUGGGCCAUAACUGACGCUGAGGCACGAAAGCGUGGGGAGCAAAUAGGAUUAGAUACCCUAGUAGUCCACGCCGUAAACGAUGAGUACUAAGUGUUGGGGCAACCCAGUGCUGAAGUUAACACAUUAAGUACUCCGCCUGAGUAGUACGGUCGCA